rnacentral:rRNA from 1 species
UAUGGCCAUAUAGCAUUGAAACACCAGUUACCAUACAAUCAGCAAAGUUAAGCAAUGUCAAGCCUAGUCAGUACCUAGAUGGGUAACCGCUUGGGAAUACCAGAUGCUGUAAG